rnacentral:misc_RNA from 1 species
GGAAGGAUCAUUAAUGAAUGUGCCAGUACACGUACUGCGACACCAUGUUUUGUCCCAACCGGUUGCUAUGGAGAUGGCAUCAUCUGAGCUGAACUUGACUGAACUUGUGAAGCGUAGUGUCGUUGUACCUACGAAUAGUAGUAAUAAAUACAACUUUCAACAACGGAUCUCUUGGCUCUCAUAUCGAUGAAGAACGUAGCAAAUUGCGAAAAGUAAUGUGAAUUGCAGAAUUCAGUGAAUCAUCGAAUCUUUGAACGCAUCUUGCCACUCUCUGGUAUUCCGGAGAGUAUGUCUGUUUUAGUAUCCUAUCCAUCCAAUCAAAGAUCCGAUCUUUGGACGAUGAGUGCUAUUUGUGCUACGCAAAUUCACUUGAAAAGCAUAGUUCGCCUGUGUCGGCGAGUGCGGCGGAGAGGGUUAGCUGUAUGCGCGCCGUGUGCGUCGGCGCACUUGGCUCGCGUGGUGGGGGACGAACAAAGCCGUUCUUCUCCUGGCCGUCCAUAUAGUGGGAAGCGCAACGUCUGUAGACUGGUCAAGUCCAUUGUUCACGCAAUGAUGGUCGGUCUGUUGGCGUGCAGCCCCGUAUGGCCCGGACAGGACGCAGAGAGUGGGCUCCCUGGAGUGUCCGCCUGGCCCGCGCCGCGGGUCGGCCGCGCCUACCAAGACCGACGUGUGGCGACUGCUCGCUAUAGCCAGCGAAUCCGCUGUGCCCGGCACGAACCGUGCGCAAAGCAGCUAGCCAGCCGGCAGCUGCUGUGCGGCGCGACGGCCGAACAACCCCUGGCCGGCACCGCGUGUGCCCGCAUCAACGAGUCUGGAUCUCAAAUCAGACAAGACUACCCGCUGAAUUUAAGCAUAUAACUAAGCGGAGGAAAAGAAACUAACAAGGAUUCCUUCAGUAACGGCGAGCGAAGCAGGAAUAGCUCAAUUUUGAAAUCCGUCCUGGGUGACACCGGGACUGAAUUGUAGUUUCGAGAAGCAUGGUGGCUGGCAGGCCGCUGGGUGCAAAUCUCUUGGAACAGAGUAUCAUAGAGGGUGAGAAUCCCGUCCAUGGCCCAGCGUGUUCUGUCCAUAUUGCCGGCUUUCAACGAGUCAGGUUGUUUGGGAUUGCAGCCUAAAAUGGGUGGUAAAUUUCAUCUAAAGCUAAAUAACGAUGAGAGACCGAUAGCGAACAAGUACCGUGAGGGAAAGAUGAAAAGCACUCUGAAGAGAGAGUUAAAAGUACGUGAAAUUGUUGAAAGGGAAACACUUGGAACCAGUCCAGGCGAGCAGUGACUCAGCGGGCGCGUGGUGCCUGUAUGGCCGGCUCCGAUCAAGCGAUUGACUGGGACCGGCUGUCGGGGCGCAACAGCCCGUGCAUUUCACUGUGCGCGAGUCAACAUCAGUCUGCCGGCGCGGAAAAGGGCGACCGGAGAUUCCUUGAGGGUCCUAGACCACUCUGGGAAGCCAGCCGUUGGAUACGUGCCAGUAGACUGAGGAAUGCACUUGCCUUUGACCGCGCGCCAAUUGACGUGGUCCGCGCGGCACGAAACAGCCUGUCUGAUUCGGCUGUCGCGGGGUGCGUUAAGCGCUGUGCGGGCUCAGCGGGCCAAGUAACGGAUGUUGACGUAAUGGUUUCAAAUGACCCGUCUUGAAACACGGACCAAGGAGUCUAACAUGGAUGCGAGUAUUUGGGUGGACUAAACCCAUGUGCGCAAUGAAAGUGAACGUGUGGGACUUCUGUGGAGACACGGAACGCACCAUUGACCGAUCUUGUCUAGCUUCGGCUUAAUAGAUUCGAGUAAGAGCAUGUAUGUUGGGACCCGAAAGAUGGUGAACUAUGCCUGAAUAGGGUGAAGUCAGACGAAAGUCUGAUGGAGGCUCGUAGCGAUUCUGACGUGCAAAUCGAUCGUCAAAUUUGGGUAUAGGGGCGAAAGACUAAUCGAACCAUCUAGUAGCUGGUUCCUGC